UGGAAGGAACAAGGGAUAUGUCUAUUAAGUAACUUAUAUGACAUAAUGCAGUUAGCAUCACAAUAGAAGUAGAAGCCUCGGCCCCUCUCAGAGCUCUGGAAACCUUCCCCUCCAUCUACUCCGGCAGCAUGGGAAGUUCAUGGGGGCCACAGUUGGCACCAAGUGUUUUCCACGCUUUGCUUCUGAGGGCCAAGAUGCCAUGGUGCUUUCUGUAGCAUUUAACUGUGUGGAGCUCUGGGACUCUUGUGUCUUGGGGGAAGAAAGGACCACUUUUUUUUUUUUUUUGACAGAAUCUUGCUCUGUCUUGCCCAGGCUGGAGGGCAGCAAAUGAUCUCGGCUCACUGCAGCCUCCGCCUCCUAGGUGCAAGUGAUUCUCCUACCUCAGCCUCUUGAGUAGCUGGGAUUACAGGCGCCUGCCACCACACCCGACUAAUUUUUGUAUUUUUAGUAGAGAUGGGGUUUCACCAUGUUAGCCAGGCUGGUCUUGACUUCAGGUGAUCCACCCGCCUCGGCCUCCCAAUGUGCUGGGAUUACAGGCAUGAGCCACUGCGCCCAGCUGAAGGACCACUUCUAAUUCCUACCUAUGUCUCUUGCUGCUAAUUAAACAUCUAAGUUUAGAGGCUAAGGGGGAUACUACCUGGGGACCAUUCCUCCGGACUGGAGUGAGCCUGUGUUUCUGUCUUCAUCUUAGCCCCGAGCUAUGGAUCAAACCUCAUCUGCCUGCAGCUCUGUGGUUGAUCCUGAGGGACUCCUUCAUUUGCACAAAUGAAGUGUAGAUAAGAAUUGUGUGUCAACUUUUAAUGAGCCCUCAAGGGUCAUUGAAAAAUUCCAUGGCUUUUUCACUGAUGAAACUUAGAAUUGGCUUCCCAGGGAUUGUUAUGACAAUAGAGUUUGGUAGAUCAUGCCAGCAGGUGUUCCAUUGGGCUGUUUGAUGCCACUCAAGGCUCUAGCCAAGCGCAUCUCUGAUGUGUCCUCCAGAAAGGGUGUCCAGGGGCUUUGACCGAUGAGCACGGGGAGUUUUGGAGGAGGGCUGGACGUGGCGAGUUCAGAUGAAUUCUACUAAUUGCUUGGCUGUAGGAACCAAACCUUGUCUGCCUGCAGCUCAAACAAGAGAACAAGCAAGAUGAGAUCCUCUGCCCUGCUGGUGUUUUUUUUUUUUUGUUCUCAUGGGGAGAAAAUGUAUUAAAAUAUGAGUUACUGCAUCA